UACAGUGCAGUUUAAAUUUUCUUUUAACCAGGAAUACUUGUAAACACAAAAAGAAACUUCAAUAUAUCAGGAUGUACCUUUGAAAUCUAAUUCUAUAAGGAAAUAAAAAGAAUCAUCAAAAGUACAGAUUUUGAAAGUAUAACAGUCUUUAAAAUGUCACAUUUGGAGGCUUACUGAAAUGCCUCUGUAUCUUUGUGUUAGUAUAGUGAAUCACAAUCUAGAUCUUUCCCCUGAAACUGUGGACCAUGCUGUCCAAGCAACAUUCGACGUUUGGAGCAAUGAGACCCCCUCAGUUUCAUUAGUUUUCUGGGACACUGCUGAUAUCACACUCUUCUUUGGAGCCAGAGUUUUCCCACAGGUUUUUUCUGAGUUGUUUUCCUUUUGGAACAUGGAGAUUUACUCCCCAUUUGAUGGAUCCUUUGGACAGCUGGCUGCUGCCUUUCCUCUUGUGAGGAAUCCAAAGGCACAGCAAAGUCAGUGAUGGAACAUCAGCGGCUCCAACGUGCACACUUUGGGCGCUAUGCUGUGUCGGGGUUACUUGCUCCAGACCAUUGAGGAAGGGGCCUUACAGGUUUCGCUUUUGUCCAUCUUCCCUAAACAAGCAACAGGGGAGGAAUGUAAUUAAUAAGGUUGAAGAAUCUGUCCAGAUAAUCUCUUAGAAGAACAGAUUUUGUUGACAUUUACCCCAAUCAUCAUCGCUGUGUUUCUUCAUAAAGACAUUGGAAUAGACUUCAACCUGUUCCCUGCUGCUGUACCUGCAUUUGGCCAUGUCUCGGGCCUCCAUCACCCCGUGACCCUGACACUCCGAUGUACCCCCUGGUGUAUAUGCAUCCUAGGAAGAGAAAGAUCCUCUCUGAGGAUGAUGUCAAAGGCAUCUAAGCUCUCUGUGCUUUGUUGAAGUUUGGUUUUCUUCUCAUUCUAGAUGUAUUCAUUUGCUUUGCUAAUCCCCAAUAUGGCUUUUUCCAACAUAUGGUGGAAUUUAGUUACUGCAAGAAGCAAGCAGGAAGAGUGCUCUGAGUUCAAAUAACUGAGGGCAUCACUCCAAGCUGUAGCCCACUCUUAGAUUCUCAUGAUGUCAUGUAGCUCUGAGAAGUGGAAAACCUCUGACAUCCCAUGGACCAGGGUUUCACAGCAGCCUCUCUGGAAAAUGAAGUACUAAGGCACAGAGCGGUAAGGAGUGUUUUCCCCACAAGUUUGUGGAAGUCUGGAUCUGAGGGAGUCAGGCUUACAGGUUGGCCUCCAUUUACUUUUCAUCCAAACUUUUAACCUUAUCUCAAAGGCCGUAUUCUGUAAUAAUUAAAUCAUCUGUACCUUUAGUUUAAGAUUCUCCAAAUCUUUCUCCCAUCUUAGAAGAAAGGUUCGUAGCUGUAUGU